rnacentral:rRNA from 1 species
UAGGGAAUCUUCCACAAUGGACGCAAGUCUGAUGGAGCAACGCCGCGUGAGUGAAGAAGGUUUUCGGAUCGUAAAGCUCUGUUGUUGGUGAAGAAGGAUAGAGGCAGUAACUGGUCUUUAUUUGACGGUAAUCAACCAGAAAGUCACGGCUAACUACGUGCCAGCAGCCGCGGUAAUACGUAGGUGGCAAGCGUUGUCCGGAUUUAUUGGGCGUAAAGCGAGCGCAGGCGGAAUGAUAAGUCUGAUGUGAAAGCCCACGGCUCAACCGUGGAACUGCAUCGGAAACUGUCAUUCUUGAGUGCAGAAGAGGAGAGUGGAACUCCAUGUGUAGCGGUGGAAUGCGUAGAUAUAUGGAAGAACACCAGUGGCGAAGGCGGCUCUCUGGUCUGCAACUGACGCUGAGGCUCGAAAGCAUGGGUAGCGAACAGGAUUAGAUACCCUGGUAGUCCAUGCCGUAAACGAUGAGCGCUAGGUGUUGGGGACUUUCCGGUUCUCAGUGCCGCAGCAAACGCAUUAAGCGCUCCGCCUGGGGAGUACGACCGCAAGGUUGAAA